rnacentral:rRNA from 1 species
CUCCUACGGGAGGCAGCAGUGAGGAAUAUUGGUCAAUGGGCGCUAGCCUGAACCAGCCAAGUAGCGUGAAGGAUGAAGGCUCUAUGGGUCGUAAACUUCUUUUAUAUAAGAAUAAAGUGCAGUAUGUAUACUGUUUUGUAUGUAUUAUAUGAAUAAGGAUCGGCUAACUCCGUGCCAGCAGCCGCGGUAAUACGGAGGAUCCGAGCGUUAUCCGGAUUUAUUGGGUUUAAAGGGAGCGUAGGUGGACUGGUAAGUCAGUUGUGAAAGUUUGCGGCUCAACCGUAAAAUUGCAGUUGAUACUGUCAGUCUUGAGUACAGUAGAGGUGGGCGGAAUUCGUGGUGUAGCGGUGAAAUGCUUAGAUAUCACGAAGAACUCCGAUUGCGAAGGCAGCUCACUGGACUGCAACUGACACUGAUGCUCGAAAGUGUGGGUAUCAAACAGGAUUAGAUACCCUGGUAGUCCACACAGUAAACGAUGAAUACUCGCUGUUUGCGAUAUACAGUAAGCGGCCAAGCGAAAGCAUUAAGUAUUCCACCUGGGGAGUACGCCGGCAACGGUGAAACUCAAAGGAAUUGACGGGGGCCCGCACAAGCGGAGGAACAUGUGGUUUAAUUCGAUGAUACGCGAGGAACCUUACCCGGGCUUAAAUUGCAGUGGAAUGAUGUGGAAACAUGUCAGUGAGCAAUCACCGCUGUGAAGGUGCUGCAUGGUUGUCGUCAGCUCGUGCCGUGAGGUGUCGGCUUAAGUGCCAUAACGAGCGCAACCCUUAUCUUCAGUUACUAACAGGUCAUGCUGAGGACUCUGGAGAGACUGCCGUCGUAAGAUGUGAGGAAGGUGGGGAUGACGUCAAAUCAGCACGGCCCUUACGUCCGGGGCUACACACGUGUUACAAUGGGGGGUACAGAAGGCAGCUAGCGGGUGACCGUAUGCUAAUCCCAAAAGCCUCUCUCAGUUCGGAUCGAAGUCUGCAACCCGACUUCGUGAAGCUGGAUUCGCUAGUAAUCGCGCAUCAGCCACGGCGCGGUGAAUACGUUCCCGGGCCUUGUACACACCGC